rnacentral:lncRNA from 1 species
UGCUGAGACGAUUAUCAGAUUUGUGUAAGAUUUACUCUGCUCUUUAAAAAAGAUCAUGCACUCAUCCUCAACUCUCUCUCUCUCUCUCUCUGUCUCUCUCUCUCUCUGGUUUUCUGCAACCCCAGCCUGCAGACAGAUCAUCAGAAAAUUCAACUUUCAAGUGAGGAUCAUAAGCCAGAGAGUGCAGGACUCCACACCAGGGCAGAUGACCUGUGGAUUCCAGAAGCUCUCAGGAAUUUUGCAGAUUUCUCAAGGGCAACCCUGUCCAUAGAACGGGGAAAAGAACAAGCCCAUGCCUCCAAAGAGAAACUUCACAGUUCGCCUAAGUUUAACCUCUAGUGAUUCAUUCUCUUGUGUGUGGGGGCCUUCUGAUCUCUGGGAGCUCCCUCAAAGGCAAACUCCCAUGCAGAGGGCAUUUCUGAGGACUGAAAUCCAGGUGAUAAUAGUAACUACUGCUUUUUUAGCAUUUAGUGCUAACUUUGGCAUUUGGGCAACCAUCAAACACUCUCUUCCAUCAUCUCGCCCCUCCACCCACAGCCCUGUGUUAUCAAUCCCCUUUCCCAGCCAACCUGGGGACAAGUUGACUUGUCAUCACCAUCUGUACCUCCCCACUUUACACUCUCUCCACAGUCCACUCCACUAGGGCAUUGGCUGCACAUGUCACCAAAACCACUCUUGUCAGUGUCACCAAAAACUCCCAUGUUGCAAGAUACAAAGGCCAUUUUUCGGUCUCUUGUACUGAGCCUCUCCUAGAAGCAUAAGGUCCCUGGGCUUCCUUGGCACCUCCUCCGCCAGCAUCUUCUCCUCUUUUUGGCUGCUCCUGCCAUAGUUCACCCACUGCCCUCUCCUUCUACCACUCUGUCGAGUACUGGUGCACCCCAGGGCUCAGUCCUAAGCCCCAUUCUUCCCUCUAUCCAUGUGUGCUCCUGCAGUCCCAUGGUUUACACACCAUGCAUUUACCAAUGCCUUUAUAUAGUUCUCCCACCCAAACCUCUCCCUGAGCUCCAGCCAGAAUCACAUAUACAACUGCCUACCUGACCUCCCCACUCAGAUAUAUUACAGAUCACUCGGCUAGUAGCUGGCUAAGGCAGGACAUAAACUCAACUUCAGGUAGAUCUGAUCUCAAGGCCUGCAUUCUUAAUGACUCCUGGACUAGAAUCCAAGGAGACAGCUAUAAACUCUCUGAGAGAAGAGGCAUCUCCACUCCAAAGAUCUACCCAAUGGCCUAGGACAGACUUAUUCCAUCACUUCUCAUGCUGUGAGAAAUCUGUCAUUGUGGGAUUUCCCCACUUAAGUAUAACUAGGUGGUUACCUUUCCUGCAAUUUUCAAACAGGGCAGAUAUGUUAGGGGUAACAUGGACCCACAAACACCUGGUAUGUCUGUGUCUUCCCAGAGUGUAAACUCUGCUCAAACAUGGACACAGAAAGGCAGACAGCAGGAGAAAUCAUUUUCCUACAAAGAGAAAACAGAUGUGUCUUGGAAGAGAAAAUGAGAUACAACUUUUUGUAAUUUAAAAAACAAGACUUCAAACUUCAGGUGGACACCUUAGCCUUCUGCCACAGAUUCAAAGGAUAUAAAGUAGAACUACAAAGAGCUUAAGUCCUGACUCCUAGAAGCUUGUUUCUAAUAUCUGCCUCCAUUAGCCUUCGUCUUAAACCAGGAAGGUGGUAUGAACACUCAACAAACCGUCAGUGUACUUUGGAAGAGGUGGGAUAAAAGUGGACAUUUUUGCCUUGCCUCUGAUGUCUUUAGCGAAGCCAAAUAAAUCUGGAAAGAAAAAUUAAAUAUUUCCCUGAAACCUCACAGGAGAAAAAAAGAGAAAGGCUUUCAGAAGUCCCCAGAGAAACAAGAAAUGACUAUUUCCAAAACAAAGUUUGAUUUGAAAUUAUAAGAAGCUAGAGGUAGUUUUGAAAACCAGUGAACACUCAUGAACUUAAUCAGGCUUAGCAAAGCAGAGACAGAAAUGCAGAUUGGAAGUUGCCCCUGGAUAGCUUGGCCAGCAGAAUAAAACCCAGAGGCAGAAUCAAUUUUUUUUCUUUCAGAUUAAAGCCGCAGCAUCUCUCAGUUGAAGGCAGAGGUAUAAAGUCAAAGACUCCAGAAGUUCUUGGAAAAUGAUAAGUCAAUCUCUUGACAAAUGAUCCAGGGGCAACUUCGAAUUCCUGUUUCUAUCUCUACCUCUCUGAUUACUUUAACAAGCACUUUCUGAUUGGACCUUGGUAAUUCCAGCAAGCCAAGACUUUCCAUGGGUAAGCAUAAUUUAUAAUAGCCUUAGACACCACUCCUCCAUCACAGUCACCUUUGUCAUCAUGAGUUUCCAAAGCAACAGGAGGUGAGUACACUUAGCCCUCCUGGAGUCUAUAUGUAGCCUGUAGUUUAACUAUAACAUUAGUUGAUUUGCAUCCUACAUGGUUAUGCUAUGGUAGGGGCAGGAUUCUGGAGUUGGUCCUCCUGGGUUUGAGUCUUAGCUCUACCACUUACUAGCUGUGUAUCUUGAGCAAGUUAUUUCAUCUCUUUGAGCCCCAGUUUUUUCAUCUAAGAAUGAUGAUAAUAGUAAUAUCUAUCUGAUAAGGUUGGUGAGAGGAUGAACUGAGAUACAGCAUGAAAGUAUUUGGUGCUGUGUCUACAGCACAGCAAGUAAUUCAAUAAGCAGAAGCUAUUGUUGUUACUAGAGAUUUCUUAGUCAGAGGUGUCUGACCUUGUCAUAGCCAUUUUCUAAUCCAUGGUGUUGAGUUCAUGCCUCAUAUGUACAAAGUGUUGUUCAGGAACUCCGAUAAUGUCUGUGAUCUGUACAUUUCACAGGACUUCACCUUACCCUCUUAGAUUACUGGCAACCUCGCAUCCCCUGAAUUCCUGUUCAGGGAGAAGAGCAAGUCCUUCCUUCAGGGACUGGAGAAUGACAACCUUCACAGAACCCAGAGCUAGAGACUGAGGACUCAGAAUGUAGACUGGGAAUAAGAGAACUACAGCCAGGGGCCAAAUCCCUCCAGCCACAACAACAACAAAAAAAAAAAAAAAAAAAAAAAAAGGCUUGAUUGGGGUACAUUUGACAUACAAAAAAAUUGCACACAUUUAAUGUAUACAAUGUGAUGAGUUGGGUACAUGCAUACAGCCGUGAAACUAUCACCACAAUCAAUGUAAUAAACAUAUCCAGCACCUCCAAAAGUUUCCUUGUGCCCCUUUAUUGUUGUUUUUGUUUUUGUGGUAAGAGCAUUUAUCAAGAGAUUACCCUCUUAAUCUUUUAAGUGCACAAUAGUCUGGUUACCUAGAGGCACAUUGCUCUACAGCAGAUCCCUAGAACUUACUCAUCUUGCAUAACUGAGACUUUAUACCCAUUGAACAGCAGCUGUUUGCUUCUCUUUCCCCAUUCUGUGGUAACCACCAUUCUACUCUCUGCUUCUAUGAAUUUGGCUAUUUUAGAUACCUAACAUAAGUAGGAUUAUGCAGUACUUGUUUUUCUAGUCUGCUUAUUUCACUUAGCAUAAUGUCCUCCAGAGUCCCCCCAUGUUGUCACAUAUGUCAUGAUUUUCUUCUUCUUUUUUUUUUGUUGGGGGGGUGGUGCUCACUGCAACCUCCGCCUCCCGGGUUCAAGCGAUUCUCCUGCCUCAGCCUCCUGAGUAGCUGGGAUUAUAGGCACCCACCACCAUGCCCAGCUAAUUUUUAUAUUUUUGGUAGAGAUGGGUUUCACCAUGUUGGCCAGGAUGGUCUCGAACUCCCAACCUCAUGUCAUCCACCCGCCUUGGCCUCCCAAAGUGCUGGGAUUACAGGUGUGAGCCACUGCUCCCGGCCUUCUUUUUUAAGACUAG